GCGCGCGUAGGUGGUUAAUUAAGUCAAAUGUGAAAUCCCCGAGCUUAACUUGGGAAUUGCAUUCGAUACUGGUUAGCUAGAGUAUGGGAGAGGAUGGUAGAAUUCCAGGUGUAGCGGUGAAAUGCGUAGAGAUCUGGAGGAAUACCGAUGGCGAAGGCAGCCAUCUGGCCUAAUACUGACACUGAGGUGCGAAAGCAUGGGGAGCAAACAGGAUUAGAUACCCUGGUAGUCCAUGCCGUAAACGAUGUCUACUAGCCGUUGGGGGAUUUGAUCCUUUAGUGGCGCAGCUAACGCGAUAAGUAGACCGCCUGGGGAGUACGGUCGCAAGACUAAAACUCAAAUGAAUUGACGGGGGCCCGCACAAGCGGUGGAGCAUGUGGUUUAAUUCGAUGCAACGCGAAGAACCUUACCUGGCCUUGACAUAGUAGAGACUUUCCAGAGAUGGAUUGGUGCCUUCGGGAAUCUACAUACAGGUGCUGCAUGGCUGUCGUCAGCUCGUGUCGUGAGAUGUUGGGUUAAGUCCCGCAACGAGCGCAACCCUUUUCCUUACUUGCCAGCAUUUCGGAUGGGAACUUUAAGGAUACUGCCAGUGACAAACUGGAGGAAGGCGGGGACGACGUCAAGUCAUCAUGGCCCUUACGGCCAGGGCUACACACGUGCUACAAUGGUCGGUACAAAGGGUUGCUACACAGCGAUGUGAUGCUAAUCUCAAAAAGCCGAUCGUAGUCCGGAUCGCAGUCUGCAACUCGACUGCGUGAAGUCGGAAUCGCUAGUAAUCGCGGAUCAGAAUGCCGCGGUGAAUACGUUCCCGGGCCUUGCACUCACCGCCCGUC
rnacentral:rRNA from 1 species